GUGUGGGGUCUUUAUAUAUUUUGGAUAUUAACUCCUUAUCACAUAUAUGGUUCAUGAAUCUGUUCUCCUAAUCUGUAGGCUGCCUAGUUUGCUGAUUGUUUCUUUUGCUGUGCAAAACCUUUUUAAUUUGAUGUUGUCUCACCUGUUUAUUUUUACUUAUGUUGCCAAAGCUUUUUGUGUGAUGUCCAAAAAAAUCGCUGCCAAUGCUGAUGUCAAGGAUCUUUUUCUUUAUGUUUUCUUCUAGGAGUUUCACAGUUUCAGAUCUUAUGUUUAGGUCCUUAAUCCAUUUUCAGUUGAUUUUUGUAAAAAAUAUGAAGAAAGCAG